rnacentral:rRNA from 1 species
AGCUCCAAUAGCGUAUAUUAAAGUUGUUGCAGUUAAAAAGCUCGUAGUUGAACUUUUGGCUUGGCUGGGCGGUCUCUCAUUGAGUAGUACUUUCUGGCCUCGUCUUUCCUUCUGGAGAAGUAUGGUGCUAUUCAUUUAGUGCUGUAGGGAACCAGGACUUUUACUUUGAAAAAAUUAGAGUGUUUAAAGCAGGCUUGGCUUGAAUACAUUAGCAUGGAAUAAUAAAAUAGGACUUUGGUUUUAUUUUGUUGGUUUUCUCAACCAAAGUAAUGAUUGAUAGGGACAGUUGGGGGCAUUUGUAUUGAGCCGUCAGAGGUGAAAUUCUUGGAUUGGCUCAAGACAAACUUCUGCGAAAGCAUUUGCCAAGGAUGUUUUCA